rnacentral:piRNA from 1 species
UAUUUUAUUCAGCACAGGGCCUUGUUCUC